rnacentral:rRNA from 1 species
UACGUAGGGAGCAAGCGUUGUCCGGAAUCAUUGGGCGUAAAGCGCGCGUAGGCGGCCCGAUAAGUCCGCUGUGAAAGUCAACGGCUCAACUGUUGGAUGCCGGUGGAUACUGUCGGGCUAGAGUACGGAAGAGGCAAGUGGAAUUCCUGGUGUAGCGGUGGAAUGCGCAGAUAUCAGGAGGAACACCUAUAGCGAAGGCAGCUUGCUGGGACGUUACUGACGCUAAGGCGCGAAAGCGUGGGGAGCGAUCCGG